rnacentral:misc_RNA from 1 species
UUGCACAAGGUAUGCCUCGUUAGGAUUCCUGAGGCUGACGAUAUCCUUUUGGGAAAUUCUUAUUUAGAUCCAGUUUAUUAUAGACCUAAGAUAUAAAUAUAUAGAACUCAUUUAUUUAAUAAGUGAGUUUCAUUAUAUAUUUUAUAUCUUAAAUUUAUAAUGCACCGGAUUUAGGUAAGAAAAAUUCUAUUCUUAAAUAAUAA